AUGGGCAAUACCUCCCUAUAUUCUUUGCAAGAGACCAUUCCCUCACAGUCGAUGCUCCUUCUUGCUACAAAGGCACCCUUGAAACUUGGAAGAUUUAUUCUAGUAAGAUGGCAGGCAAAGUCUAGCAGGGGCAAGCCUAAACCUCUACUUCCACCGUCGCAGCCUAUAACUCUAAAGCUAGAGUAUAGUAUAUCUAAAGUGCGCUUUUGGCUUAUUUAUCGUUUUAGUUGA
rnacentral:lncRNA from 1 species